AUUAUUAUUAAAAAUUCAAAUUUCGUUUGUUUGAUUACGUUAAUCGUAAUUUGAAUUUAGCGUAUGAUAGCGUCUCAUAAAGCGAGAUUUCUAUAUAUCUUAAAUUUGCGGAAGGAUUUGUGAUGUUGG